GACGAACGCUGGCGGCGUGCUUAACACAUGCAAGUCGAACGGAAAGGCCCUGCUUUUGUGGGGUGCUCGAGUGGCGAACGGGUGAGUAACACGUGAGUAACCUGCCCUUGACUUUGGGAUAACUUCAGGAAACUGGGGCUAAUACCGGAUAGGAGCUCCUGCUGCAGGGUGGGGGUUGGAAAGUUUCGGCGGUUGGGGAUGGACGCGCGGCUUAUCAGCUUGUUGGUGGGGUAGUGGCUUAUCAAGGCUUUGACGGGUAGCCGGCCGGAGAGGGUGACCGGCGACAUUGGGACUGAGAUACGGACCAGACUCCUACGGGAGGCAGCAGUGGGGAAUAUUGCACAAUGGGCGGAAGCCUGAUGCAGCAACGCCGCGUGCGGGAUGACGGCCUUCGGGUUGUAAACCGCUUUCGCCUGUGACGAAGCGUGAGUGACGGUAAUGGGUAAAGAAGCACCGGCUAACUACGUG
rnacentral:rRNA from 1 species